UACGUAGGGUCCGAGCGUUGUCCGGAAUUACUGGGCGUAAAGAGCUCGUAGGUGGUUUGUCGCGUUGUUCGUGAAAACUCACAGCUCAACUGUGGGCGUGCGGGCGAUACGGGCAGACUAGAGUACUGCAGGGGAGACUGGAAUUCCUGGUGUAGCGGUGGAAUGCGCAGAUAUCAGGAGGAACACCGGUGGCGAAGGCGGGGUCUCUGGGCAGUAAACUGACG
rnacentral:rRNA from 1 species